GAUUGAGCACUGAUAUAGUUGCAGCAAUAUUAUAUAAAAAUCAAGGCAGUAAAAAUAGCGGCGAUACUUUGUUUGAGCCGCAAGAACAAAUGUACCAACUGAAUUGGAGAAUGUAAUUGAUUUUUAUACUAUACCUGUAAAUAGUAGUACAUAAUACUCAUAUCUCUAAUAAAAAAAGUUUGAGUAAUUUGUUCGGAUUUUGAGGAUUUUUCAUUUGUUUUUGAGGAAUUUGGCAAUUUUUUUGUGGCAACACUGUGUAAAAUGCAUGCAUACACAGAAAGUUAUCUACAAAUGUGUGCGUUAAAGAAAAAUUUAAAUAAGUAAAAUCUAUGUAUGCACAUAGAAAAUUGUGUGAAAAAUACCGAAAAAAAACUUAGAGAAAAUAAAAGGAAGAAAACGGACUAAAGAUAUCGAAAAAAUCGCGCUGAUUUCCAAAGCGCCGAAAAAAAACUAAAUCAAAAGUUAAAAAUGUUCGAAAAUCACAAGUCUAGUGAAAAAAGUAGAUGAAUAUUAAACCUGAAAAAAAUAAUUACAACGUAAAACAGUAACAGAUAAAAAUAAAUUUAAUAUUUGACUAAGAAAACGAAAGCGAGGUGAACAUAAAUACAUACAUUUGUACAUGUCGUUAAAUGAAGCAUCAAAAAAUUACGAUUUUAUACAAAAUGUGAGAAAGAGCGCUUUCUUUGAUAACACGAAAACAGUUUUAAAAUAAAAAUAAAAUACAUACGUAAGUAAUGCUAGAAUGUGGACAAUGGAAAAUUGGACCAAAAAACGCCAGGAUGUGGUCAAAAUAAAAUGAUAAAAAAUUAACUGUUAAAUUGCUUUUAUAAAAAAAUCUCUACAUAUGCUUAUUCACGUCGAAAAAAAGAAACUGUAACCGGAAAAGAAAGAAUCUAGUCUUUGGAUAUAGAAGUCGAAAGCAAAUAGAAGAGCUUAUGCCUGCCAUUGAAAUUAAGAAGAGAACACGCUUACUUUGCAUUGCUGUAAACGCCUCAAUGCCAGAUUUGCUCAAACUACAAUACAAAAACAAAACCGAGUACAAAGUACUACAAUAAAUAACAAAAGAGAGGAAAACCACCACAUACCGAUGAACACCCGAAUAAUUAUUUACAGUAUAUUUAUUUGUUGACAUUAAUACAUACUACCACCAGAUCUUUUAUAAUAUUGAUGUAAACGCCAAUAAAAAUACACAGAUCCAGCUAAAAUUAAUACUAAAUGCAAAUGGAAUAAAUCAAUAUCAAAAUAAAGACACACAAACUGAAUCCACAAAAAAUUAUUUCGUGCAUUGAUACUCUCAUGAUGGCAUACCUAAUAUACAUACAUACACAC